UUCCAGACUCCUACGGGAGGCAGCAGUGGGGAAUAUUGCACAAUGGGGGAAACCCUGAUGCAGCGACGCCGCGUGAGUGAAGAAGUAUUUCGGUAUGUAAAGCUCUAUCAGCAGGGAAGAUAAUGACGGUACCUGAGUAAGAAGCCCCGGCUAACUACGUGCCAGCAGCCGCGGUAAUACGUAGGGGGCAAGCGUUAUCCGGAUUUACUGGGUGUAAAGGGAGCGUAGACGGCAUGGCAAGUCUGAAGUGAAAGCCCGGGGCUCAACCGCGGGACUGCUUUGGAAACUGUUAAGCUGGAGUGCAGGAGAGGUAAGUGGAAUUCCUAGUGUAGCGGUGAAAUGCGUAGAUAUUAGGAGGAACACCAGUGGCGAAGGCGGCUUACUGGACUGUAACUGACGUUGAGGCUCGAAAGCGUGGGGAGCAAACAGGAUUAGAUACCCUAGUA
rnacentral:rRNA from 1 species